rnacentral:rRNA from 1 species
GUCCUUUUGGUUUUUUAUUUAAGGUCUAGUCUGCCCACUGAAUUUAUAUUUUAAAUGGCCGCAGUAUUUUGACUGUGCAAAGGUAGCAUAAUCAUUAGUUUUUUAAUUAAAAGCUUGUAUGAAAGGCUGGACGAGGUAAAAACUGUCUCUAUUUAAAUUAUAAUAGAAUUUAACUUUUAAGUUAAAAGGCUUAAAUAUUAUUAAAAGACGAGAAGACCCUAUAGAUCUUUAUAAUUUGUUAAAUAAAAUUUAUUUAGAAUUAUUUAUGUUUUAUUUAAUUGAAUUAUUUUAUUGGGGUAAUGGAAAGAUUGAAUUAAUUCUUUUUUAUAAUAAACAUUAAUUUAUGAAUAUUAAAUGAUCCAGUUUUACUGAUUAUAAGAUUAAGUUACCUUAGGGAUAA